AGUGAACGCUGGCGGUAGGCCUAACACAUGCAAGUCGAACGGCAGCACAGUAAGAGCUUGCUCUUACGGGUGGCGAGUGGCGGACGGGUGAGGAAUACAUCGGAAUCUACUUUUUCGUGGGGGAUAACGUAGGGAAACUUACGCUAAUACCGCAUACGACCCACGGGUGAAAGCAGGGGAUCUUCGGACCUUGCGCGAUUGGAUGAGCCGAUGUCGGAUUAGCUAGUUGGCGGGGUAAAGGCCCACCAAGGCGACGAUCCGUAGCUGGUCUGAGAGGAUGAUCAGCCACACUGGAACUGAGACACGGUCCAGACUCCUACGGGAGGCAGCAGUGGGGAAUAUUGGACAAUGGGCGCAAGCCUGAUCCAGCCAUACCGCGUGGGUGAAGAAGGCCUUCGGGUUGUAAAGCCCUUUUGUUGGGAAAGAAAAGCAGCAGGUUAAUACCCCGCUGUUCUGACGGUACCCAAAGAAUAAGCACCGGCUAACUUCGUG
rnacentral:rRNA from 1 species